CCUCAGAGGCUGGAGUGAGGGACUCAUGCUGGGAAGAGUUUCUGAAGAGCCCCAGUUGAUUCAAGGUCAUUUCAAGAUUCUAAAUUUGAGGACCUCGGUGGACAAAACCUGGCCUCUUGAUGCCCUUGUGAAAUGGGGCCCCUGCCCCUGCUUCUGACAGUGGUGGGGACCCCACUUGAAACCUUCCCUUCCUGUCCCCAGUGGCACACGUCCAGCCUCAGGGUUAGGGCUGUCACUGGCCUUCCAUAAUGGCCGUAUAGUGACCGAGGGUCGGGUGGUGGGCAACCUCCAACAAAAGAUGCAGACGCACAGGUAGUUGGAUUCAAUUAACCAAUUGUUUGGCUGACCGCAAGGGUGUGGCUCUUCAAACAGCAGAUGCUGUUCUCUUCUGGCUCAAUUUAAAGUGACCAUUUUCCCAGUUGGCACAGAACAGGUCCUACCUCGCUAAGAGGCUUGCUGGCACCAGGCAAUGAGCCCCUGAGCCAGUACUUGCAGUACCCACAGAGGGCUGUGAUAAUCUCCUUCCCUAAAUAUAGUUGUGACGGUCACCAUCCAGCUGGUGGGUGAUGUACAGCCCCUACCUGCAUGCCUUAUAGGAUUUAGUGUCACCUAACACCUUCCUUGUGCUGCCCUAGCAAGAGGCUGGAACACAGGAAGAGUGGCAUCCGAGUGAUACGGCAGUGGAGGAGUGGGGGCCUGGGCACAGGCAGGAUGCCCUGAUGGCUGAGGUCACACCGAGCCAUGUGGUGGCCUUGGCACCUACCCCGCAGUAGUCAGGACUCAAAUACCAGCAUCAAGGCUCUGUGUUUAGAUGCCUGCUCUGAAUCCUUCUGAAUCUUGGCCAUGUUCCAGCACCACCAAUUAUCUCUUGCCUAGCAGCAGUGAGGUGGCAGUUACCACACAGAGGUGCGGGGGUGGCUGCUGGAUGCUUCUGGGCCUGUGCUGCUGGAGAGCAUGGCUACAGAAUCCCUGUAAUCCUCCGCCUUCCCCCCAGGAGCAGGGGAAGUGGCACCCAGGGAGCUUGAAGGCAUGAAGUACAAAUGAGAGAAAGGAGAUUAUUUUUGGCUGAACAAAUCAUUCUCAUGGUUUUGAGCAGACUUUACUAAAGCCUUCUGGGAUGCUGGCUUGCAUCAUUAGCUGCUAGCAAGCAUGCCAUAACCAUCACCUUACACUAGGAGGCCUGGGUAUCUCGUGGGGUUUGGGCAUAAGAUGCCCAUUGACAGAGUUAUUUCUAGGGCAAUUAUUUUCCUGGUUUCUUUUCCCAUAGCUCCGAUUCUACCCCUAGCCUGGGAACCUCCAUAUGCUGCAGGGGCAGCCCUAAAAAGACAAAAAGACACACACCAAAAAAAGUUUUAGAGCGGGAAAGGUCAGAGAGUUCUCCCAGUGAAUAGCAUCAUAGAGAUCUCUCCUUUUAAAAGGCUUCCACGCGCCCCAUGGUUUUCCAAGGUGGCCUUGCCUCCUUGCCUCCUCCCUGUUUCUUGUUUUCUUUUUUGGCUUCCCCAUGGCCUAUGGGGUUCCUGGGCCAGAUCAGAUCUGAAUUGCAGUUACACCUAGGCUGCAAUGCUAGAUCCUUAACCCACUGUGCCAGGCCAGGGAUUGAACCUGUGUCCUAGGGGUCCCAAGAUGCCGCCAAUCCCCUUGUGGCACAGCAGGAACUCCUUCCUCGCCCUAUUUCUAUCACACCACACUGCUUCAAGUUCUCCCAACCUGCCUGGAGCUCUCUCUCUGCACCCCUGCCACCCCUCCUCAGAUUUUUCCAUGGAUGCCUCUCAAAUUUCAGGACUCACAUGGGUAUCACCUCCUUCAGGAAGCCUUCCUUCCUGUGCCACCAGCAUUUGUUUUAAACAUUCUGAGAUGAGCCCUGACACAGCAAUAUCACGUCCUCAGAGAAUCCUAUAGAGGCGGAAAAAGUUUGCCUCUUGUGGGAAAAUAAGACUAUUGCAGGGGUAAGGAUGUAGUCCACAUACUGUUAGGCCAUACUCCCAUAAUAUGCUUCUUAUAAAUUUAAGUCACACAGAAAAAAAUCGAAAAUUAAUCAUGCAAAAGAAAAUCAUACUUUUUGAUUUAAAUCUACUUGAAGCUCAAAUGUUAACAAUAGUUUGCAGGCAAUGAGUAUGGCCUCCUACAUAUCAUAGUUGAUGAUUUUAUAUACACACUUUAAAUUCAACCUAUUAGUUAUGAUUGGAAAACAGCCUUAGACAUUUCUUAGGCAGUUGAAACAUAGGCAAGAGUUAUAAGUGGAAAUUCUAUUGCCAGGUACCCUGUGUUUUUGAGCCCAACACCAAACCACAGAAGUCUUGGGUUACUUAGAAAGAAUACAAAUCGUUUUAGGUCAGGAAUAUGUGUUUUGGGGAGGGAAGCAGAGAACAACAGGUUUCUCCUUGGCUUAAUUUACUUAACGGUUCGAAGUCAUCACACUUACAGUUAGAAGGGAGAAGCUCCUAUGGGGUCUAUAUUCCGAAGAGGCAGAUCCAGCCUGGAAGCAAACUACCGCUGUUUCCUCACGUAACUCCUUCACAACGGUCUGCUGCAGAUAGCCCUAUGAGAAGUUUUGAGGCCAUUUCUACCAUUUCAGAAAGAAGAAUCUCUGGAAGCCAACCCAAAGCAGACAUCAUCUGCAACCCACCCGUCCAGAGCCCCAGAAGCAGGAAGCACGGAGGACUGGAGUUCAGCUUCCAGUGGAGCCGACUGUAGUAAACUUUCCACAUCACUCCAAUCACAGAUGUGUCCUUUUUCCUGGUAUCCUACUCUCAUUGGAGGCUUUUCACAAACACAUCACUCCUCUGAACACGUGGGCACAGCUUAUUGGAAAACUGCAGGCAGGGAGCAAGAUGAGGUGCUCUCUCCCUUGUUUCUUAGGAGUCGAGGCUCAUCCAGCAUGAAGCUAUGAGUGUACCCAUUACCUGAGUCUGUGGGGAGAUUUCUCCAAAGGACCACACCCCAACAGACACCCAAAAACCCAAGACCGAGGUCUUGUGUGGCAGUUCCUCUGUCUCUAUCAUCCCAAUCUUGGCUGCUGUUUCUACAACAGUAUUCCCGCAAAAAGGGCAGUGGAUUCUUCUAGUGCCAGCGACCCCUCCCCUCAGGGGGCAGGAGCAACUUCCGGAAGAUCAGUCCCCUCAGAUCACAUCUUUUUCUUAGACUUUUCCAGAGACGUAUCUCCUUAGUCCACUUUUGGUUUCCUUCAUGGGUGUCUGGGUCUUGGCUCCUUUGCUCUAACAGGAAUAUUCUUUUGAUCUGGGGAAGCCAAUUCAUAGAAUUGCUUAUAAUGCUCUAGUUUCUGACUUCUGAUGCUUAGCUGUCAUGGAAGGCGGAUGGCGCUGGGCCCACACCUGGUCUCAGUGAAGGAGGCUGACUGGGGGCAGUUUAGAGGGUGACAGAGGAUGAGCUGUCUUCUUUGGUGGUGUGAGGCUGUGGUUACAGGAGGCAUUCUCCCAUGCACAGCACCUUUGGCAUCCUUCAUGGAUCAUUUUGGUUUGGGCCCCAUGGCUGAGGUUCUUGGUGAAGCUGAGGCACUGACUCAUGUGAAGCCAGAUGUUUCUCUCCAGUUUCUACUGACAACAGUUUCAAGUUUGAGAGUCACAGAUUCUCCUCCCAAUUUCUCUGUAGAGCUCUGCUCCUUGCCUUCUGCAUUCUCCAUCAUCUGAAGAGUUGAGAAGGAUUAAAAAAAGAAAAUUCUUCUGACUUCUGGUCAAGAUUGAUUCUUCUUCUAAAAUCUCCUCCCACUAUCUGCCACCCAAACACAGUCUUAAACCCAUUAUCCUUAAAAAAUGAUGUGUAUCUAAUAUAGACUUAUUAGAAAUUCAAUAAAUGAGAUAUUUUACCCUACGAGAAUCAGUUUUUAAAUCCUUAGAGUGCUAGGGUGAUGACAAAAAAAGUAGCUGGACAGUUGUAAAAAAGCUCUCAAUGGGAGCUGAAUUUUAGGAGAACUGGUUUAAAGGGAUGUUCUUCAUUCUCUUGGGGAACCUUACAGAGUGGCAAGAACACAGCUAACCCACAUGCUUCCUGAUUGUUUAAAUCUUGCUGGGGGAAUGGUAGGCAUUAGAGUUUGGAUCCAGAACUUCUGACUUUUUAACAUCGGACUUGUGUCCCAUUCUCUCUCCUGUUAGGUGGACCAGACUCUACCAGUAAAGAUAUAGCUAGUAAAGAACAUGGUUUAUGAAGCCAUCCAGACAUCGAUUCCAAUGCUGGCUUCACCAUUUUCUAGCAAGGCACCAUUUCCUUGGCCAAGGCACUUGACAUCUUUAAAGUUUCCUUAUUUAUACAUGGGGAUUGUUGUGAACAUUAAAGCGAAUAAGUACUUAACAUAAAUCUUGUUAAAGUAAGCCCUCUAUUGUUAGUUUUAUUUUGUGCUAAAAAUGCACACUAAAUCUCUUGGUUCCUCCUCCCCAGAGAUCUCCAUCUUGGGCAUGUUUACAAGCCAGGGAUGAAUAGGUGGGUGUAGAAGUUAGGUAUGACAAGUUAAGAUCAGCUGUUAACAACUGGAUAAACAACAUUGGCUUAAACACAGAAUUUCUCUCACUUUAAAGUCAAAAUAUAGGCUCUGCUCUAUGAAAUCCCCAGGAACUGGGCUCCUAGUCAGUCUAUUGUGUGGCUUCCAUUUCCAAGGUCACCCACAGCCAAUAAAAAGAGGAAAGAGGUUGAGAUGGAAAAAGGGUGAUGCCAGCUCUUUCUUAAAGAAUUUUUUUGCAAGGUGUUGCAUGAAUUUAUUUCAUUAACUCAAAAGUAUUUUCAUGGCUUCCCCUAGCUACAAGGGAAAAGGCAGAGUUUAUUCUGGGGAGCCACAUGUCUAGCUAAAAUUGCCAUUGCUGUGAGGGAGAGGGAGAGUGUACUUGGGACCAAUUAUCCUCUGGACAAAGAGUCACUCUGGGGGCCAGCCAUAGUGGUGAGAGUUUUGGGAGCCUGAUGGAGCUGAUGGCACAGGGGAAAACAAAACAAUUUUUUUUUUUUUUUUUUUUUUUUUUUAGGGCUGCACCUGUGGCAUAUGAAGUUCCCAGGCUAGGGGUCAAAUUGGGGCUACAGCUGCCAGCCUAUACCACAGCCACAGCAAUGUAGGAUCCAAGCCACAUCUGUGACCUACACCAGAGCUCACUGCAACACUGGAUCCUUAACCCAUUGAGUGAGGCCAGGGAUCGAACCUGCAUCCUCAUGGAUCCUAGUUGGGUUCAUUAACUACUGAGCCAUGAAGGGAACUCCCAAAAACAAUAAAAGUAGUUGUUGCUGAUAAAUUGUAUUUGCUUUUGAUCUCAUCAAGAAAAUGUUGUCUAGAAUUGCUCUGUCCAACAAGGUAGCCACUAGCUAUGUGUGACUAUUGAACAUUUCAAAUUGGCUAAUCCAAAUUGAGAUGUGCUGUAACAUAGACACUGGACUUCAAAGAUACUAUAAGAAUGUAAAAUAGGCAUAGUUCCCAGUGCUACACAGCAGGAUCUCCUUGUGCGAAAAUAGAAUGUGUACAUGUGUGUGUAACUGGGUCACCAUACUGUUCAGUAGAAAAAAAAUUGUAUUGGGGAAACAACUAUUAAAAAAUAAUUAAAAAAAAUAAUAAAAAGUUAAAAAA
rnacentral:lncRNA from 9 species